rnacentral:rRNA from 1 species
UUAAAUUGAAGAGUUUGAUCAUGGCUCAGAUUGAACGCUGGCGGCAGGCCUAACACAUGCAAGUCGAGCGGUAGCACAGAGAGCUUGCUCUCGGGUGACGAGCGGCGGACGGGUGAGUAAUGUCUGGGAAACUGCCUGAUGGAGGGGGAUAACUACUGGAAACGGUAGCUAAUACCGCAUAACGUCGCAAGACCAAAGUGGGGGACCUUCGGGCCUCAUGCCAUCAGAUGUGCCCAGAUGGGAUUAGCUUGUUGGUGAGGUAACGGCUCACCAAGGCGACGAUCCCUAGCUGGUCUGAGAGGAUGACCAGCCACACUGGAACUGAGACACGGUCCAGACUCCUACGGGAGGCAGCAGUGGGGAAUAUUGCACAAUGGGCGCAAGCCUGAUGCAGCCAUGCCGCGUGUAUGAAGAAGGCCUUCGGGUUGUAAAGUACUUUCAGCGAGGAGGAAGGCAUUAAGGUUAAUAACCUUGGUGAUUGACGUUACUCGCAGAAGAAGCACCGGCUAACUCCGUGCCAGCAGCCGCGGUAAUACGGAGGGUGCAAGCGUUAAUCGGAAUUACUGGGCGUAAAGCGCACGCAGGCGGUCUGUCAAGUCGGAUGUGAAAUCCCCGGGCUCAACCUGGGAACUGCAUUCGAAACUGGCAGGCUAGAGUCUUGUAGAGGGGGGUAGAAUUCCAGGUGUAGCGGUGAAAUGCGUAGAGAUCUGGAGGAAUACCGGUGGCGAAGGCGGCCCCCUGGACAAAGACUGACGCUCAGGUGCGAAAGCGUGGGGAGCAAACAGGAUUAGAUACCCUGGUAGUCCACGCUGUAAACGAUGUCGACUUGGAGGUUGUUCCCUUGAGGAGUGGCUUCCGGAGCUAACGCGUUAAGUCGACCGCCUGGGGAGUACGGCCGCAAGGUUAAAACUCAAAUGAAUUGACGGGGGCCCGCACAAGCGGUGGAGCAUGUGGUUUAAUUCGAUGCAACGCGAAGAACCUUACCUACUCUUGACAUCCACGGAA